rnacentral:snoRNA from 1 species
AUCCUUUUGUGGUUCAUAAGCGUGAUGAUUGGGUGUUCACGCGCAUGUGUGACAUGUGCCACCCUCAAAUCUUGUUAUGCACUGGCACAUUACCCUUCUGACG